CUGUCAUAAUAGCACUUACCUCCUAGGGUAUUGUGAGGAUCAAAUGAGACAAUAUGUGUAAAAGUGCUUAGCAUAAUAGUGCCUGGCACUUAAUAAAUGCUUGUCUCCUUCCUCUCAUCCUCUUCUCUAUCUCACUCUCUCUCCCCUUUCUGACUUUUCUUUCUCAGCCCAUUUUUCUCUCACUUUUUCUUCCCCCUUCCAGAGUCUGGAUAACCACUUGUCAGGAGCGCUAAGGAGAGGAUUCCUGGGGAGAAGGACAGAAUUGGUGGAUGUGGUUGCUGUUACCAUCAGUGAUGUUUGAAAUAUCAGAAAAUGGGAGAGGUGUCAGAAUAUGAGAAAGAAAAAUGUCCCUUUAAAAAAAAAGGAAGAGGAAGAUUCUUCAACUACAUGCCAGGGUUUCUAGAACCAAGGGCAAAAGAUACCCAACUCUUUUAGGGACCACAGGAUCAAGGGAAGAAUGUUUUAGUGUGAAAUUCUGAAGGUCUUGAAGACCAAGAAUAAAAUCACCCAAAAGACAAUGGGGUUUGUUUCC
rnacentral:lncRNA from 1 species